rnacentral:lncRNA from 1 species
CCACUUUGACAAUAUUUACUUAAGUAUUUCCCCCCACCUCACUCACACACAUGCUCCCCCACACUGGUUCCCUUAAAUAGUUCCAGUAGAAUUUUUUUUUUCCCUUAAGAAAGGAAAGAGAAAGUCCAACCACUACGGCAAUACUUUUAAGCUCUACUAAAUGAUCGUAUCCUUUCUGGCUUCGAAACUUUUGUACCUAAAAAUCGAGAGAGGCGCUGCAUUUUUUCAGUUGAAACUGUCAAAACUUGGAGAAGGGGGACCUCGGAGGCAGGCAGGAGAGGAGGAGAAUCCUGAAAACUCGGUGGAGGUUGGGAAGAUGCUGUGCCUCGAGGAUUAGUUUAAACAGGGGGCUAUAAAAGAUGUAACAGAUGCAAACUGUAACACAAGGGCCAUUAACCCUUUCUCUGCCGGGCACACUCAGUCCCCACGCCCCACACCUAUUGUCUCCUGUGCUAGAAGCUUUGCAGAAAACCUGGAAAGUAUUUGCCAAGUCCUAAUUGCUGAAUAUAAUGAAUUGGAACUAGAUGCGAAAAUAGAGCAGGACCUCUCCCCUUGAUGAGUUUUUAUUCCAGCCAUAUAAUUCUCAAUAAAACUUUUCCUGGGCUGGAUAGCAAAGGACACCUUUGGUUACCUGAAUGAACAGUUUUGGCCAGAAAUGGUGAGAAGAAAAAGCAUGAAGAAGCCGCGAAGUGUGGGGGAGAAAAAGGUGGAAGCGAAGAAACAGCUCCCGGAGCAAACUGUACAAAAACCUCGCCAAGAGUGUCGGGAGGCAGGACCGUUAUUCCUGCAGAGCAGGAGAGAGACGAGAGACCCUGAAACACGCGCCACCUAUCUUUGUGGGGAGGGAUAAUUGAAGCGCCCUGAGCGUACCAGAGCCAGAAAAAAAAAUGCUGCAUGGGAGCUGCAUCUUAGGGCAUGUGUAUUAGGGUGUGUGCAUGAUGAAUUUCUGGACUGGAUCCCAAUAUUAAAAAGUAGUUUGGCAUUUUAAUAAAGGGUCUCUAAGUAAAUUAAAAUAGAACACUCGGUUGGCCGAUCUCUGAAUCUCUCUACACCUCGGGGAGACCUCACUACAAAGUAAGGGAGAGUGUGUAGGGAGGCAGGAGGAGAAACGAGAAAGGCCAUAGAGAAACUUAGCAGGGAAGGGAGAGCAUGAUAUUAAACGGCAUGGGGUCUAAGUUUUGGAGUAUAUAUUUUUUGAUAUUACAAUUAAAGUAAGAUUAAAAAGAAAAGACUCCACCUUUGCUCUGAAGGGAUUGGUUAUGCAAAUAUGGAAGGGAUUUCCUGGAGAAUACAGCUUUCUACUGUAUGGUUAAUUAAAUAAUCACUCAAAAGCUUCCAACGUGACGCUUCUGUCGUAAUCCAAUCAGGUUACAUAGGUCCUAAACAAGAAAGAUAUUUUCCACAUCUGGAAGUCAGCAAUUUAGCAAGUACUGCACAUUAUUAACCAAUUCAGAGCCCACUUCCCAGGGGAAUUUUUUUGAAGUUUAAGUGUUCUUAACCAAUGCUCUGCUGUUUUGUUAAUCAAAAAGCUGGUUUACACUGCACAUAAUUGGAACUAAUAUAGAAGUAAAUAAAGACAGCCAAAUUUGA